rnacentral:rRNA from 1 species
AGUUCGAUUCUGGCUCCAGAUUGAACGCUGGCGGGAUGCUUUACACAUGCAAGUCGAACGGCAGCCUGGACUUCGGUCUGGUGGCGAGUGGCGAACAGGUGAGUAAUGUAUCAGGAACGUGCUAGUAGCGGGGGAUAACUACGCGAAAGCGUAGCUAAUGCCAUGCGCCCUUCCCGAGGAAAGCAGGGGGCCUUCGGGCCUCGCACUAUUAGAGCGGCCGAUAUCGGAUUAGCUGGUCGUGGGUAACGGCUCCGCAAGGCGACGAUCCGUAGCUGGUUUGAAGGCGACCAGCCACCACUGGGACUGAGACACGGCCCAGACUCCUGAGGAGGCAGCAGUGGGGAAUUUUGGACAAUGGAAACCUGAUUAACCCAUCACGUGUGCGAUGAAGGCCUUCGGGUUUGUAAAGCACUUUUGGCAGAAAGAAACGGCACGGGAUAAUACCCCGUGCAACUGACGGUACCUGCAGAAUAGCACCGGCUAACUACGUACCAGCAGCUGCGGUAAUACGUAGGGUGCAAGCGUUAAUCGGAAUUACUGGGCGUAAAGCGUGCGCAGGUUCGGAAGAAAGAUGUAAUCCCAGAGCUUAACUUUGAACUGCUUUUUAACUACCGAAAUUAGAGUGUGUCAGAGAGGAAUUACGCAUGUAGCGGUGAAAUGCAGUGAAUAUGCGGAGAACACUGUUUAGGCUUUAUGUCGAAUGUUUCUGAAGUUGCAACGCUAAAGAAAGGUGAUAGAACCAAUACCUGGCUGGGUCCGCCCUCGACGUUGUAAGCUGGUGUUGGGACACAGGCACCAAUGCGCGCAGCUAACAUGGCAGCGAGGUCAAUACGCACGGUGUCUUAGGGCAACAAAGAUUAAAACUCAAAGAGAUUGACGGGGACCCGCACAAGCGGUGGAUGAUGUGGAUUAAUUCAGUGCUUAUGAAAAACCUUACCUACCCUUGACAUGUCUGGAAUCCCGAAGAGAUUUGGGAGUGCUGUCGCAAGAGAACAAGGACACAGGUGCUGCAUGGCUGUCGUCAGCUCGUGUCGUGAGAUAUUGGGUUAAGUCCACAACGAGCGCAACCCUUGUCAUUAGAUUAUUGCUACGAAAGAGCAUCUAAUGAGACUGCAGUGACAAACCGGAGGAAGGUGGGGAUGACGUCAAGUCCUCAUGGCCCUUAUGGGUAGGGCUUCACGUCAUACAAUGGUCGGGACAGAGGGUCGCCAGCCCGCGAGGAAUUGUCCAGAAACCCGAUCGUAGUCCGGAUCGCAGUCUGCAACUCGACUGCGUGAAGUCGGAAUCGCUGGUAAUCGCGGAUCAGCAUGUCGCGGUGAAUACGUUCCCGGGUCUUGUACACACCGCCGUCACACCAUGGGAGUGGGUUUUACCAGAAGUAGUUAGCCUAACCGUAAGGAGGGCGAUUACCACGGUAGGAUUCAUGACUGGGGUGAAGUCGUAACAAGGUAA